AUUAAGGCCUGGGCGGCAGGUCUACACAUGCAAGUCGAGCGGAACGAGUUAUCUGAACCUUCGGGGAACGAUAACGGCGUCGAGCGGCGGACGGGUGAGUAAUGCCUAGGAAAUUGCCCUGAUGUGGGGGAUAACCAUUGGAAACGAUGGCUAAUACCGCAUAAUGCCUACGGGCCAAAGAGGGGGACCUUCGGGCCUCUCGCGUCAGGAUAUGCCUAGGUGGGAUUAGCUAGUUGGUGAGGUAAUGGCUCACCAAGGCGACGAUCCCUAGCUGGUCUGAGAGGAUGAUCAGCCACACUGGAACUGAGACACGGUCCAGACUCCUACGGGAGGCAGCAGUGGGGAAUAUUGCACAAUGGGCGCAAGCCUGAUGCAGCCAUGCCGCGUGUGUGAAGAAGGCCUUCGGGUUGUAAAGCACUUUCAGUCGUGAGGAAGGUGGUGUAGUUAAUAGCUGCAUUAUUUGACGUUAGCGACAGAAGAAGCACCGGCUAACUCCGUGCCAGCAGCCGCGGUAAUACGGAGGGUGCGAGCGUUAAUCGGAAUUACUGGCCGUAAAGCGCAUGCAGGUGGUUUGUUAAGUCAGAUGUGAAAGCCCGGGGCUCAACCUCGGAAUAGCAUUUGAAACUGGCAGACUAGAGUACUGUAGAGGGGGGUAGAAUUUCAGGUGUAGCGGUGAAAUGCGUAGAGAUCUGAAGGAAUACCGGUGGCGAAGGCGGCCCCCUGGACAGAUACUGACACUCAGAUGCGAAAGCGUGGGGAGCAAACAGGAUUAGAUACCCUGGUAGUCCACGCCGUAAACGAUGUCUACUUGGAGGUUGUGGGCCUUGAGCCGUGGCUUUCGGAGCUAACGCGUUAAGUAGACCGCCUGGGGAGUACGGUCGCAAGAUUAAAACUCAAUGAAUUGACGGAAGGGC
rnacentral:rRNA from 1 species